UCCAAUAUUUACUCACUCAUAGGUUAAAAACAUAUCACAUAUAAAUCUUUAAAUUUAUUAGUUGAAAAUAGACAACAUUUGUCAUUGAGCACGCACAUAAAGCUCCAAGAAGAUCAUCUAAAGAUCGGAUUUGGGGGGAAAUGGGUACUAAAUACCAGAAUGAAGUUAGGAGGGUGGAUUACACAGAUUGGGACUGAUGCAUAGGUGGACACACACACAAACUUAAGACAAAUGAACAGAUCAGAGAGAUCUCCUUGGAGGUUAAAAGCCCCAAGUGUGCAUCUUGUUGAUGGGAUGCUCUCAGCAAACACACAGUCAAAAGUGUAACCCUUUGAAUAUCCAUGGUUACCAGUCACGACCCAUCCAGAAUGUUCACGGCCUGCAUUAACAAAGAGUGGGUUCCUGCUAUUGAAAAAGAGGGACACCACUGCAACCAAAGCAGCAUGGAAAGACAAAAGAAGAAUGCCAACAUUAUUAUAUUUUGGUGAUUUUGAAUGUCUCAGUGUUGGGACAUGGACAUCAUGUGGGGGUGUGCAUGGAGAUCAUGUAAUGUAGGUCUGUGUUAUACCCAGAGAUUCAAUGCAGAACAAUUAAGGUUAAAAAUCCAUAAUUUAAUUACGAAAUUCGGAGCAUCAAAGUUUAAUUUCAGUCAUUGAUUUUUACAUUGAUUUCCAUCUUUGACAUGAUUUUAUAACCAUAUCAAGGUUAUAUUUUCACAAAAUGUUCUUUACUUUAUGUAAGAUGAUUUUAUGUAGAAAACAGUUACAUCACAAAUAAUUACUUCAGCUGGGAUUUUAAAGGCAAGGUUACAUAAAAAAAAAUGUUUUUGUGAACAGGUCAUCCCACCCAAAACUUAUGCCAUUGGUUGAGUCAAAACAGCUCAUUAAACUGAGACUUUAACUAAUUCUUUAAUUAAAAGACUAAAAUGC